ACGCUGGCGGCGUGCCUAAUACAUGCAAGUCGAGCGAACAGACAAGGAGCUUGCUCCUUUGACGUUAGCGGCGGACGGGUGAGUAACACGUGGGUAACCUACCUAUAAGACUGGGAUAACUUCGGGAAACCGGAGCUAAUACCGGAUAAUAUUUCGAACCGCAUGGUUCGAUAGUGAAAGAUGGUUUUGCUAUCACUUAUAGAUGGACCCGCGCCGUAUUAGCUAGUUGGUAAGGUAACGGCUUACCAAGGCGACGAUACGUAGCCGACCUGAGAGGGUGAUCGGCCACACUGGAACUGAGACACGGUCCAGACUCCUACGGGAGGCAGCAGUAGGGAAUCUUCCGCAAUGGGCGAAAGCCUGACGGAGCAACGCCGCGUGAGUGAUGAAGGUCUUCGGAUCGUAAAACUCUGUUAUUAGGGAAGAACAUACGUGUAAGUAACUAUGCACGUCUUGACGGUACCUAAUCAGAAAGCCACGGCUAACUACGUGCCAGCAGCCGCGGUAAUACGUAGGUGGCAAGCGUUAUCCGGAAUUAUUGGGCGUAAAGCGCGCGUAGGCGGUUUUUUAAGUCUGAUGUGAAAGCCCACGGCUCAACCGUGGAGGGUCAUUGGAAACUGGAAAACUUGAGUGCAGAAGAGGAAAGUGGAAUUCCAUGUGUAGCGGUGAAAUGCGCAGAGAUAUGGAGGAACACCAGUGGCGAAGGCGACUUUCUGGUCUGUAACUGACGCUGAUGUGCGAAAGCGUGGGGAUCAAACAGGAUUAGAUACCCUGGUAGUCCACGCCGUAAACGAUGAGUGCUAAGUGUUAGGGGGUUUCCGCCCCUUAGUGCUGCAGCUAACGCAUUAAGCACUCCGCCUGGGGAGUACGACCGCAAGGUUGAAACUCAAAGGAAUUGACGGGGACCCGCACAAGCGGUGGAGCAUGUGGUUUAAUUCGAAGCAACGCGAAGAACCUUACCAAAUCUUGACAUCCUUUGACAACUCUAGAGAUAGAGCCUUCCCCUUCGGGGGACAAAGUGACAGGUGGUGCAUGGUUGUCGUCAGCUCGUGUCGUGAGAUGUUGGGUUAAGUCCCGCAACGAGCGCAACCCUUAAGCUUAGUUGCCAUCAUUAAGUUGGGCACUCUAAGUUGACUGCCGGUGACAAACCGGAGGAAGGUGGGGAUGACGUCAAAUCAUCAUGCCCCUUAUGAUUUGGGCUACACACGUGCUACAAUGGACAAUACAAAGGGCAGCGAAACCGCGAGGUCAAGCAAAUCCCAUAAAGUUGUUCUCAGUUCGGAUUGUAGUCUGCAACUCGACUACAUGAAGCUGGAAUCGCUAGUAAUCGUAGAUCAGCAUGCUACGGUGAAUACGUUCCCGGGUCUUGUACACACCGCCCGUCACACCACGAGAGUUUGUAACACCCGAAGCCGGUGGAGUAACCAUUUGGAGCUAGCCGUCGAAGGUGGGACAAAUGAUUG
rnacentral:rRNA from 4 species